rnacentral:rRNA from 1 species
CAGUAGCCGCGGGAAUACCGAGGGUGCGAGCGUUAAUCGGAUUUACUGGGCGUAAAGCGUGCGUAGGCGGCUUUUUAAGUCGGAUGUGAAAUCCCUGAGCUUAACUUAGGAAUUGCAUUCGAUACUGGGAAGCUAGAGUAUGGGAGAGGAUGGUAGAAUUCCAGGUGUAGCGGUGAAAUGCGUAGAGAUCUGGAGGAAUACCGAUGGCGAAGGCAGCCAUCUGGCCUAAUACUGACGCUGAGGUACGAAAGCAUGGGGAGCAAACAGGAUUAGAUACCCCAGUAGUCCCUGUCUCUUAUAA